AACGAACGCUGGCGGCGCGUUUUAAGCAUGCAAGUCGAACGGCAAGGCAUCUUCGGAUGCCCUAGAGUGGCGAACGGGUGAGUAACACGUAGGUGAUGUGCCCUGAAGUUGGGGAUAGCUCAUGGAAACAUGGGGUAAUACCGAAUAAUCUGGCAGUUUUUGAAUUGUCAGGAAAGAGGCGUUUGCCUCGCUUUUGGAUCAGCCUGCGGCUUAUUAGCUAGUUGGUGGGGUAAUGGCUCACCAAGGCGACGAUAAGUAGCCGGCCUGAGAGGGUGAUCGGCCACACUGGAACUGAGACACGGUCCAGACUCCUACGGGGAGGCAGCAGUAGGGAAUUUUCGACAAUGGACGAAAGUCUGAUCGAGCAACGCCGCGUGAGGGAAGAAGGUCUUCGGAUUGUAAAACCUCUGUUAUAAGGGAAGAACAGUCAGAGCAGGAAAUGGCUUUGAUUUGACGGUACCUUA
rnacentral:rRNA from 1 species